UGACUGCCAAAAAUUAUAAAAUUCCAC
rnacentral:piRNA from 1 species